GGCAGUAACAGUAGUCAUCUCAGAGGCACCUCCCACGGCACAGGACAGGGCCUGGCACAGGACAAAUCUCCGGUGCAUUUAAGUCAGUUGCUCGCCAUCGUCAUUCCCCUCACGUGUGAGCACAGCUUUGCAGACCACGAGCCCCGCGGUAGACGGUCUUUAUCACAUCGUGGCCCCAGGCUUCUGCGUUCCAGCACCUGUGUGACUCUGCCCAGUCUGCAUCGCCACAGGGAUCGAUAUAUGAAGAAAUAGUUAACACGGUAACUGUCUGAUCCUUGUUAUGGAUUUUUUAGCCAUUUGAGGCUCUGGGGGCUUCCUCGCUUUGAGUCAGUACUUACUAAAUUUAGCUUUUCUAGUUUUGGGUAUUAUGCUUAUAAAGAAUUGAGGUGGGUGUUAAAAUUAUCAUUUGGGAAAAUUCUCCUAUUGCCUGUUUUUCUAGUUCAGAUUGCAGUCCUGUCCUGUGGUCCUGACAGCUCUUGAACAUGCACACAUGUGUGUUUGCUGCAUUAAAGUCACACAAAAUUCUUUCACUGAUGACAAUGGACAGCCUUAUUUUAUAGGUUGCUUGUACUUGAAAAGCCCACCCCUCCCCAUAUUUAUAAUUUAUUACUUUGAAUGAAAUGGGUUCAUCAUUGUGCUUUUUUGCCUGAAUCACAUCCCAACUGGACUACAUAGACCAUCAUGUGAAGAAGUAGAAAAUAACUUGUUUACACUAAAAACAAACCUGCCAAUAUAUUUUAGCUGAACAGUGUACUAUAAAUAGUAAGCUAUUUGCUAACAGUUUCCAUUUUAAACUUAGAAUUGCUGCUGAUGGAUACUAACUUGGCACUAUUCCUGGGAGCUUUGCUUCAGCCAUUUAGUUGUUAGAUAGCAGUUAAAAUAUAUAGGACCUUCACAUUCGGAGAAACUACUGUCGAUGGGGCAAAGGAUAAACUUGUCUGCAAUAUGAAUCCACAAGUAUUUUUAAAAUGAAUGAAAAUUUGCAUUGAUUCUUUGCCAUUAAUCAAGGUAAGAGAGUCUCUUUCAACAUUUCUGUGUUACUUACAAAUCAAAGAUAAACUUACAGAAAAGUAAUACACUAAUGCUUUUGGACGAUCAUGAUUUCUUUCUUUAUACUUUUCUUGUCUGGUGCGUCAUCAGAUUACAGAUGUGGAUAUAUUCUCUGGUUCUUCCUCUCGUUUCAAUCAGAAUUUAGCCAGGGUUCCUCGCUGAAGAUCAUGUUCACAGGAAUUUCUGUUUCUUUUUCCUCAGCACUGGGGGUUAAACCCAAGGGUGCCUACCACUGAGCUACAUCCCUCGCCCUUUUUAAAAGCCUUAUUGAGACAGGGUCUCACUGUGUUCUCGGGCUGGCCUUGAACUUUCGAUCUUCCUGCUGAGCUCAGACUUCCAUGUCACCAGGAUCACAGGUGUGUACUGUAAUGCCCAGAGAAAUCUCCCAGUUUUUAAAACCACAGACUAAUAGGUGAAAGGGCUCAGUUAUUUUUUCAUUACAGCAGCUUUUCUGGUGUUGAUGGUAGGUAAAAAUAAUAAGAUUUUUGUUUGUUUGUUUGUUUUGGUACCGGGGAAUCAGCUCGGGUCCUUGUGCUUGUGCAGCAGGUGACGAAUCCACUGAGCUAAAUCCCUGGCCAAUAAAUAAGACUUUUUAAAACUUCAUUUGGCAAAGUCUGCUGAGAACUAGAAAGAUGGUUUGUUUUUUAAAUAAAUGUUUUGACAUAGAUGUAGUUGAAAGGGAAUGGAAAAUCAUUUCACAGUUGAUAGAUAUCAGAACAAACUUUCAGCUCAUGACUGGAGUUGAAGUAUGUCAUCUAUACACUAGUUUUAUGUUGCAUACUAUAAAUAUGCAAUGAAAUACAGGACAGCUUUGUUCACAUUUGAAUCAUUAGAGAAGCUUUGGACAAAACCCCGGGCCUCUUGACGACGUAAUCUGUGGGACUGAAACUUAGGCAGGCAUCUGUGUUCGGGAGCCCUAAGGUGAUUCUAAUGCUCGCCUCGGCUGCAGAGUUCCCAGUAAAUGCUUUGGCAGUUGACACACGGGAACGUGCACAGUAUCACACACAUGUGCAGAUAUGCAGGUGCACAAAGUUACAGACACAGAGAGCAAACUGCCAUUCUUUAUGUUGCAUUGUGAAUUUUACUCUAAUAGUGACAUUUAUUAUCAGAAGGGUAACAUUCAAUGAGCUGAGGACCCGAGUUCUCAGGGCCCUUACGGAGCGAUCCCCUGACUUCCCCCAAUACUCACACGGGUGUGUUUUCUCCAUUUUAACGGUCAGCAGCCGAGGCACAGUGAUGCCAAGUCCCUUCUCCAGAGCCACAGCACUGGUAAGUUAUGGAGCCAGACUUUGAAAAUGAGCCCUGGAUUUCAGGUUCUCAGCUGCUUGUCGUUUGCUGCACUGCCUUUAGUAGCUCUUCCUGGGUACUCUGUGGUUUUAAGGGGGAAAAAAAUGCAUGCUGCUUAGCACUGCUUUGGAAAUAAAGAUAAGGUCAUCAGAAAUUUCUGUCACUGUUUCAGUCUGACUUGGUACAAGAAAUCUAAUUUGCUAAAAUCGUUCUAUGUUUUAAUAGUUUUUAAAAUUAAAUGCAUCCUGGGUUAAAAGAGAAAGUUCGACUAAUGUGCAGAAAUCUCAGCGAUUACCUGGAAGUUUCUAAGCAGUAAGGAGCCUACCUCCUCCGCCUCCCCCCCCCUUUUUUUUUAAAGUAAUGUAGGCUAAAGAUCAAAUCUUUUUGCCCUGGGGGCUCUUGGUUCUCUGAUUUCAGCACCACGCUUGGCCGAGGACCAAGCUGGGCGGCCGGCAGAGGGCAGCCGCGUCCCGCGACUGGGCUCCUCUCCCGGGGCGCUGUGUGAACCGGGGUCUUUCUCCUGGUGUCCCUUACUGGUCCUGAAAGGCCAUCGGUGCCUUUAUCUGAAUGAGGACUGGAUCGAUCUCGUCGGGGAACCCGAGCCCGGGCCGGGGGCUCUGUUGCAUAGGCGCCGGGCCUGCGCGGGCCUGCAGGGCUUGUGCGGACUCCGGAGGCGACGACCCAGGACUUUCUGCAACACUUCCUGUAGAUCUGCUUCACAGACCGCCACCAGCGAAGGCCGGCUGGGCCUGGCGCUCUCCGCCUAAUACACCAUGUAAUGCGGCGCAGAUGGAGAGUUGUCUUUCGCCAAAUCAUUCCCCCGAGAGGCUGGUGGGCCCCCGGCUGUCUGCUGCACGGAGCGAGGCCCGGGUCCGGGUGCCCUGCUUCGCAAGGCCUCGUGAGCCAUAGUUAGCAGAGAAAACAGUGGUGCUGCCCCUUCCCUCCACACCCAUUUGAGCAUCCUGGCUGCUCUUUGCCUUACGUGGAAUUACACGGAACUAUUCAGACGGCUGUAAUCCAGACAGCUGCCUAGAUGAACAUGCGUUUUUGGAUUGAGGUUUCCAGUCAGAAGUUCUAGCAGAGCCAGAGCCCUGUGUCUGCAGGCCCCAGACCCUGGGGAUGUUCCCGGCGCUGUCUGAGCUGAAAGACACGGAGAAAUGCUCUGUGACGCUGACGCUCUCAGGUCUCUGUGAGUGCUACUCGGAUAACCUGGGGCACAACUGCUCUACACGCUCUUUGCUGAGGUGGUUUUUUUUUUAAUCAUUGGGCCAGAAUCCGAGGAAAUACGUUUUCGGAAACAGGACACCUUGUUCAGAAGUUGACAGGUGCAAGCACAUAUUUGUGUUCCUGAGAGCAAGUGAGGAGGGAGAUGGGCUGGAAGCUCGCAUUUGUGGAAGCUCCUUUCCUCUCUAGCUGGUCUCGGGGGGAAGGUGAUGAAGGCCGACCCGGCGUUAGCUGUGAUUGUCCUGGGUGAAGCAGUGUGAAGCAAGGAGGCAUCGUGGGCACCGUGGGUGCCUUCACACUGGCCAAGCAAGGGCAGGAGAGCUGCUUGCUGUUGAUUCGUGGGGGUUUCUUUAUACUCCAUCACCAGGAAAUCAGUGACACUUAUCCAAGGCCUUCUAGUAAGGUAGUUCAUGGAAUAAGUCUGUUUUAUGGACAAGCUGCCAUCCAAUCACUAUUUGACAGUUUAAAACAAAGGAGACUAUCAAGAUAGUCAGUUUUGUUCAGUGAAUAAAAGAAAGUUGUCCUCACGCUAUUUCUACAGAGUCCAGGCAGCUCUGGAGCUGAGGUAGUAUCAGCGGUCCACAGGAAGUUGGAUUUAGUGCUAAGAAUCAAACUUCUGUAGGCUACUUUUUAGAUCCACAAGAUAUCAUUCCCAAUUUUAAUUAAAUAUCAGAAACUUAAAAUCUAUUAACUAAUUCUUUAAUUCAAGAAAUAUUCCAGUGCUUACUUUAUGUAGGUGAUGUACCAAUGAACAAGGAAGAUGUGGCCUCAUGCCCAAGGAUUCAGAUUUUUCCAGGGGUCAGAAAGCUUAAACAACUAACUACACUGUCAUUAAAAGUUAUAAACAAGUAAGUACAAAAUGGUUUUUAAAGUAUACCAUGCUAUUUGUGCUAAAGAAGUAUAAAAGUCAUGACGAUAUUCAGAGUCUCACACAAUCUGGGAUUUCAAAGAAGAGCUCUUUAAAGUUAAUUUAAAUUUCUUUAUCUAAAAUAAGAUUUUGACAUACACAUUAUCUAUUUACACUGAUGGAUGUGGGCUUUUUAUUUAGACAGAAUGUCUAUAGAAUAACUGAAGGAGAAAAAUAUGCAAGAACUAAGAAAAAAAUUGGUAACUUCUGCUUUGAACAAAUAUAGAUAGAUCAGAUCAGUGCUAUAACCUCUCCCCAAAUCUCUUACAUGUGAGAAGUCAUAUAUCCAUUUAGAUGGGAGAAAUUAUAUUUGUCUUUUAGAAAUGUAUUUAACUAUCAUUUAAAUAAACUAAAAUUGGUUUUUAUGUUACUUUGGAAGAUGAUCCACAACAGAACCAUACAAGUUGAGUAAGUUUUCCUGGAAAUGAACAGGCUAAAAGUUGGGAUGAUUUCCUAAGGAAAAACAUGUUGGGUAUGGAGGAACAAAAAUCUACAGAAAAAACAUUAUAGAAAAACAAGUCAGAAAGAUAUGUGAUGCUCUAUGUAUUGCUUUGUCUGUUCUUGUGAAAGGUAAAUGAGACCUUUACAACAUAAACACUAGCUCAGAGUUUGAGGGAGACAAAAAGCCAUUCAUACUUUUUUGAUUACAUUCUUAUACCUUUCCAAAUAUAAAGGAUUAGUGAAUGAGGAUAGAAUUUGAUUUUAAUAAUGGAAGUUUUUAAAGACUUUCUGGAAAUGUCUGAGAACUGGAGAAAGAGAGAGAGAGAGAGAGAGAGAGAGAGAGAGAGAGAGAGAGAGAGAGAGAGAAUGAGAGCUUGUUCUUAAUUUUAUUUUGUGUUUAGUUCCAAGAAAUCACUUCAAAGAAAUCUUCUAAGAAAUCGUUUGCAAUCUCCCUGAUGUAUAGUAUAUAAAGAUGUUUGGAGCAAAUAGUUAAAUUCGAGAAUGUUUUACGCUCCUUAAUAGUGAUGGAUGUUUUCCUUGAUACUUCACCCUUGGCUGCUCUUCAAACAUAGUGCUACUGAUGAUGUUUAAUGAACUAGCUUUAUUUGUUGUGGUGAAAUAAGAAAAGAUUUGCUAAAUCUUUGAACUCAUAAAACAUUAUUAAUAUUAUGAAAAGGACAGUGACCACCUGCCCUCUGUCUCCGUUGAAGCAGAACAUGAGGAAAUACACUGCAGUAUGAGGCAGUUAUGUUAGAAUAACUGAGAAAUUUCCUGGCAGGGGCGUUAAGCAUUGCAAUGAAUCAGGAAGAAGGUUGUGAACUCUUCUUAGAGUCUGAUUCCCUUAUUAAAUAGCAUGAUCUAUCUUCGGUGUUGCUAGUCUCACCUGUAAGCUGGUAAACCUCUCAAGCUUUAGCUGUCUCCAGUAUUUCAUGAAGAUGUUCGUGUCAGAGGGAGGACCAGGAAAAGCUAACAAAAUCAAACAAUAGCCGAGAUUCGGUGAGUGUUUGUUCUGUGCUAGGCUCUGUAUGAAGAACUUUAUAAGCACUCUCCCAUUUGAACAUGGCAAUGGCCCAGGUAUUUCAGCCCCUAUGGGUUCUGUGAACAGACGCUGACUGCUACACACCAGCAGAUUUGUUUCUUAAAAUUACCAUCAACUCAAAAAUGUAUGAUGAAGGUUUAUAGACAAAUCAUCAUUGGUGAUGCUAUCCUCAUUUUGAGAAGGAGUUCUCUAGCCUGGAAAGGACUGGGUCAGGUCUCUUUGGAGGUACAAAGGUAACAGAGCACCUGGCUCUUGAGAUACUCAUGUGUCAGAGGCUUCGUGUUGUUUUUGAUGAUGUCACUAUGGGUGCUCCAAAGUUCAGAUUUCAACUUGAAAAAUUCAGUGAGCUGAAGAUCACAUUUCCCCUCCCAGAGGCAGAACACACUUCUGCAAAAGAAUAACUUAUGUUCUUGAUAGCACUUGACCUUGAAAGCUCAAAUACCUAUGUCCUUCCCACUGUUCUUUCUUCUUCUGAAACAAACCUUCACCCCAGGUUUUCGUAGUGGCUAAGUCUGAGGUCUGGCCUGACUUUGCCAGAUUUUUGUGAUGAGUCUUACUUUUGCACUUACUCCUUGUGCUUUUUACAUUGUAAUCUUAGCAACAGGGACAGGCCUUGAUUUAACAGCCUCAUGGUAAGUCUGCCCAGAGGUUUUGCCAAUGGAAAUGUAGAAAGUCCAGUGGCAAGAAAUAGUUAUGAAAACAUGCACAGUGGCGAAUACUUCGCUAGAACCCCCUGAGUUCAGGAAACUAAACAUUUUCCUCUGUUGAUAGAGCUUCCCGACUGCAUUCCUUUCCUCUAGCUCUGUCUGCCGUUUCCAGGAGGUCUAAUCUAAAUUACGUGAAUAUCAGAUGCCCCCAAGGGCCGAGUACAGAACAAGAGCUGCAGGAGUCACAGCUCUAAUGGGGGCCAUCGAGUCACCACCAUGCAACCCACACAGACUUCAAGACUGAAACAGUUUUCUUGAUGACUUUAAAGUUGUUUCAAAUAAGUUUUUCCCACUUUCUUUCUCUUUCUCCCUUUCCCUUUCUCUUUCUUUCUUUCUCCUCCCCCCUUCCCUCCUCUUUCUUUCCCUUCCCUUCUCUUCAUUUUUUCCCCUCCUCCUUCUUCUUUCCCUCUCCUCUCCCUCCUCCAUUUUAAAGAAAAGCCUCAAUAAAAAAAACAACACAGCAGUAUCUAUAAGGUCAGAUAUUUUCAUGGCUUGGGUAGCUCUCAGAAUAUAAAUUAUGCACCUUGAAAACAAGGAGUAAAUAACUUACUAAUUUUAUCAUUGCCUUCUAGGCUUUGUUUACAUUUAUUUACAUAUUUAUUUAUUUUUAGAAUUUUGCCAUUUCGUCCACGUAGGCCAGUGGCCUUUAAUCUCUUCGGCGCACAGGUGAGCAGGGUAACACGGUGGACACCUGUUUGCUCUCUAAAGUUAGGUAGUCCUGACUGUUAACAGUGCGAAUAGAUUUUCUUAAUAGUUGAGGGGUGCAGCAGAUUACAAAAUGCUUCCUUCAGAACAGCAGGAUGUGAUGCAGAGUAUUCACGUGGUGAAUUAUGAAUGUUCCUAUAAGUUUGAUCAAGUGAUGGGAUCUCCAGCGAUCAAGAGAGGAAUCACUUCCAUCACAGAAAAGACUUUGGAGUCAUUCAACUCUUUACUGAUGAGUGAAACCCUCACAGGCUGUUUUCCCAAAGCAGCAGAAACAUCGAGGAGCAAACACAGAUCCUCUGUAAAAGAAGCGGCAAUCAAUCUAUUGAUUCAUAAUGGAGAUUGAAUGGUGAAGAAUUUUAUACUUUACAUAUUUAAAACAUUUUAACGUUUUUACAAAAAAGACAAAAUGAAGCAAAUUAGCUACAAAUUAUUUUGUUUAUUUAUCUAUAAUUAUGUUUUUUGGUUUAUUUUACUUUUGAAAUUAAUUUUUUGCCAAACUUUUUACUUUGAAAUAACUUUAUAGAAAAUUUGCAAAGAUAGCGCAGAAGGUCCUCAUAUAUUUAUUGUCCAGUUCCACUGUUUUUACUAUUGUGUUUAUCAUGUACAUUUUUCAUAACUAAGAAAUCAACGUUGGUGUGUUACCAAACUCUACUAACCAAACUCCAUAUUUCUUUCAAAUUUAACUAGUUUUCCUAUGAAUCCCUUUUUUCUACUCUAGAAUUCAGAGUUGAAGUAGAAAGUGCACUUUGUUAUGUCUCUUUGGUGUUCCGUGGUCUGUGGCAUCUUUUUCAUGACUUUCAUAGUUUCAGGUACUGGUCAGGGAUUUUUGUACAACAUUCCUCAUUCUGGCUCUGUCUGUUAUUUUCUCACGAGUAGACUAGAGUUAGGGCUGUUGGGUAAGAAGACCACAGAGGCAAAGUGCUCUUAUAUCACAUCAUAUCAGGGGUACAUGCUGUAAACAGGACUUACCACUAUUGUUGAAGAACAAAAUGUCAAUAAUUAUGUCAAUACCUUCAAAGAUCGAAUUGGCUUUUAUUACUGAUUCUUGUGCUGAGAAAUAUCCAGUCUCCAAACAACCUCCAAUGAGCCAGAGAGAGUGGACAAGUUGUAGAGGCAGCAAAAAGCAGAGGAAAUCAAAAACACUGAUCAGGUAGUGAAUCGGUUCUUUCACCAUUAUUGUCCCUGAAGGAGUGCAAAUGAAGUCUUGUUGGCCACCAUCUGUCAUCUGAUUUUCAUAAAGUCAAAUCUCUUCUACUCUUGGAGGUCAUAUCUUUUUUGUAUUCAAUUCCUGCUAAGUUUAUUGUUUUUCUCUCAGUUUUUAUUUUUAAUUAGUACAUGUUUCCAAUACACAGUGAUCAUAUUCCUUACAGGAAGUUGGCACAUGCACAUGACACAUCUCAAUCCAUUUUCAACCCCUUCCCAUUCUCUUUUCUCCUUCCUUCCAUCUCUCAAUCCUCUUCCCUUAUAAGAAAGAUCUAUUUCCAUAGUUCUCAUUAUCUAUCCUUUAUUUGCUCUUCAUUUAAAUUUUGGCUUUCUUAUAAGAGAAACCAUGUGAUAUUUAAGCUUGUGUGUCUGAUUCAUUUCACUUAACAUUAUGGUCUCAAGGUGCAUCCACUUUCCUACAAAUGGCUCAAGUUUAUUCUUUAUGGAAGGUCAGAUCUUGCAAGCAAACAACCUAAGUUUCAUGGUGAUGUGGAAUCUUAGCAUGAGUUACAGUAUUUUGGCCUGCUGCUUUUUCUUUAAACAUUUGUCACUGUUUAAAAUUAUCAGCAUUUCAAAGGUACUCUCUCUCCCCUUUAAUAUUCUAUGGAAGCAAGUCCAGCCCAGCUUUAAGAUUUAAUACUGUCUCACAAUUAUUCAUUCAGAUGACCAGUAGAACUGAAGACAUAAGACACAGUGCUUUGAGUUUCUUAGAGAAAAGGUAUAAAUAAAUGUAAAUGGAACCAUGGAUCUCCUGAUCUUCACUGAGUCGCUUUCUCAUGUUGGAGUAUGACAUUCAGAGCAGGCAAAAGUAAUCAGUAUUUUCUGUCUAUCACUUAGGAUGAAAGAAAGCUGAAGAGAUGUAGGCCAAUUAUACGCUGUCAUGACAAUGGGCCUUCAUCCAAAUCCCCAGGAAGGCAUCACAGGAGAUCUUCAGAUGGCAACACAAUGCACUCCACCAUCACACUCCCAUGCCCAGAUCUUAGCACCAUUUUACAAUCUAUUUACUGUGAUCUUUGAAGAGAUAAAAUCCACUUGCCCAAUCAACAUGAUCUUUGACCUGAACCCAACAACUAUAUUUUUUUAUCCACUAUUAUUUAUGGAAUACCUAUUAUGUGCCAGAACUUUUCAUAUUUUUCUACUUUAUCUUUCAGACAUGAUUUCAUAAAAUACUUUCAUUUUUAUAAGGAAAUUGAAAGAGGUCAAGUAGUUUGGCCAUACCAGCAGAAGUUGCAUUUGGGAUUUAAAAUAAAUUUAUUCUAUUCCAAAGUGCAUAUAUGUGAAAUAAAUAAUUUUUCAAAAAUUUGUCAUAUGAGGAAAAAUCUAAUAUUGUGGAUUCUUGCUAGGUUAACAACAUCAUUAAGAUUUUUCUGUAGUAAGUAAGACUAAUAGCUCUUUUAUUUUUAGACAGUAAUUUUGCAGUCAUGGUAUCCCCAUAAUUUCUAAUAUUAUUUCUCCUGAAUUCACUAGGUAGAUAGAAAUUCAUUACAGUAAAAAGCAUUUAGCUGCAGGUGUACUGGAAGCAAUCAUUCCAUUUUCCUCACACUGCACACGUGCUGCUAAUUUUGUUUUUGUAUUGACAGUCAACAUGAAAAAUGUUUAAUAGUCAAGGUAACAGGGAAAAUCAAAUCAAAGUUCCUCUUGAAUAUUACUUGAGAGAAGUUAAUAUUUUCAGGAUCCAGUUCUUAAUGCUUAAAGACACUAAAAAUAUUAAAAGUCAUGGAGUAUGGAAAAAUCCAUAAAUUCUUGUGAAGCCUCGUAAAAUUAUUUUCCUGGUAGGUGAACAAAGGGCUGAACGAUGCCCAGAUAUACAGGUGAGAAGUCCAUCCCAUUUGUUCAUCUGGAGAACCCUUCCUAGUUGAAUAUGCACGGUAAUAAUUGGUCACUUCUCCAUCACUGUGCUUCUUCCAGAAGCUAUGAGGUGGGUUUUUGGUUUUGUUUUGGUUUUUGGGUGUGUAGCUACGGGGAAAUGGUUACACGGAGCUACACAUUAUUCAGGUUAAUCAUGAGAGCACAGAACAAUUUGCCAUUCCAGUCUCUUGAUGGCCCAGAUUUGAAGUGUCUGCAACUCUGUCCUAACAGCCGCUGGCAUUGUGUAUAAGAGGCCAUCUGGCAAAACUUAAAGUAGGUGACAGUUUUUCCUCCCAUUCUUUUCUCUACCACGUGUGUUACAGUUUCUUUCUUCACUCAGAGCACUUUCUAUUAAUAUGCAGGCCCUCUUGUCAAAGGGAGAAAAUCUGGUCUUUAAAACCUUGCUGUAAGUUAGUUACUCAUCUACCUUUCCCUGAGGUCUGCAUUUUAAGAUAGAAACCCGUAAUGGAACCUGAAUUAACAGCCUUCUGUGGCCGGGACCCGGAGGAUCCAGUCGAAGGCAGAAGACCUGGAGCUCCCUGCAGGGUCCAGUGUGAGUCUAUGUCGGGAAGCAAAGAGUCUGCCCUGGGAGAUGGAAGGAACCGGAGAUGAAUGUCCACAGGCAGGGACAAAGCCCGCAGCUUCUUUGGAGAAGAAAAGAGCAGACUCCCUUCUUUUCCUUUUUAUUCUGUCCAGGCUACAAGUCUAUUGGUUGGUGCCACCCACAUCCGGGGCGGGUCUUCCCUCCUCAGUUUGUGGCCUACCUGUCAAUCAUCCAGAGACACGCGCAGGGCUUUACUGAUUUGCUAGGUGGCUCUUACUCAAGUGAAAGUGCCAUAUCCCAAUUAACGAUUACAUCUAAUAAUGUUCAGAUAAAACGUAUUUUGUGCAAUUGGACUGAUAAAACAUGCAAAAUAUAGCUAUGAGGUCUGCUUGAGAUUCAUAUUUAGUCACAAGAAGCAAGAAUAAUUUCUUCAUUCAAUAAUACUUAGAGAACACUGACUAUGAUGCAAGAAUUUCAGGCACUAGGAGUAUCAUAGUGAUCAAAAUCAAAGGUCUCUGCUGUCCUGGAGCACAUGCUCUACAGGGAAAAUGAACAGUGAGGAUGCACAAGGCUAGAAGAACAAGCUAAAUGGCACCUGCCCAGACAAGGCCUUCAGAGGGACUUUCCAUGGGUUCGCAGCAGUUAAAUGCAGAAGUACAAACUGGGGGGCUGAAUCCACUCUGGGUUAAAAGAGCCUUACCACCAAAUAUGGAUUUUAUAGCAGGAAAAUGUAAUGCAUAGGUCUGGUCUGAAUUCUGAUUCAAAAAAUAUGCAUUCAAGAGACAAUAUCAGGGGAUCGUUGACAUCUGUUCUGUAGUAAUUGUAGUGUGAUUAGGGACAAAAAAACCCCUUAUAUACUGCUUAGAGCUGAACUCUGAAUUAUGUAAGAUAGACAUUAUAUACUGUCUGGAAAGAAAAAGAAAAAAUGUAAAAUUCUUGUGGAAAAAUCUGAUAAUUAUUUAAUUUGGUUGAUGAGUAUAUAGGUGUUCAUUGAACUAUUGUCUUUUCUUUGCAAACUAAUAUUUUAUAAUACAAAUUAAAAAUCAAAAUGACAAUGAAAAUGUGUUAUUGUGCAUAUUUAUCAUGUGCACAAUGUGCAGAGCAAAAGAAGGAAUGGAGACAAUGGGUUUGUUUUCUAAGCUCCCAAUUUAUCAACCUCACUUUGAUAUUCUUUCUGGUAUCUUUAAACUGAGCCGGUGGCUAUUUUAUCAAGCUGAAUCUCUAAGGAAUAUGCUAUUCACAGAUCACCUUUGGAAGAUUUUACAUUUGAAUAUAUUCUUUGUUAGAUUAACAAAUAGUUUCUGGAAGGACUCAGUGAAGAUAAUGAAAAAAUCUAUAGAAGAAAGAUGAUAUGACAGAAAAACCCAAGUGGAGGAAAAUCUCAGGGAAUGAGGUAAGUCAGAGAUGCUAACACCUUUCACAUGGAGGCAUUUCAAUAUCUAUAUCUGUAUAUCUAGGCCCUCUCCAAACUCUUUUCCCUGAGCAGUCUGCAUCAUAAAAUUAGUAUAUGCUAAUAUUUGUAUUCAUAAAUAUUUAUAAAUGUCCACAUGUAUUUGGAUGCAUUGAGAUUUAUAAGUAUUCUCAUGUAUUUAGAUGCAUUUCACCCCAGGAAGAAUACAUAACUGACCUUAAAAUAUUGUUUGUUGCAUUUCAUUUAUGCUUAAAAAUGGCACACUGAAAUUCACAAAUUUAAUAGAAAUUACAGUCUGUUUCCAGAAACGGUGAUGAGUAAGAACUCACCCUAGGGCUGGGCAAGUUCUUCUUGGGCAUUUCUCAUAUUAGAGAGGAGAUCAGAGUCUGAUCACUGUCAUGAAUUCAUUAAAUACAUAUUCACUGUGAUUCGGGAACGAGCACUGAGAUACUGCCAAACACGGUAGACAGUCCCUGAUGUAACGAAACUAUAAUAGCAGGAAGUGUAGGUGCUAAGUCACUUCAGCUGUGAGGAGCACCGGACAGGCAGAGGGCAGGGUGGGAGAGAAUGGACCCUAAGUACACAGCACUGGUCGAUGGUCGAGGAGACGCCCUAGUGAAGGAGCGUUAAAGCUGUGAGGGCGGGGUGGGUAGAAAUGAGCCCUACAGGGUGGGUGAGUGAGAGAACCGGAAGUAGGCAGAAAUCAGUGCCGCACAGUUCUGACGCACAGUUCUUUUUUUUUUUUUUUGGGUACCGGGAAUCGAACUCGGGUCCUUGUCCUUGCGCAGCAGGCGGUGAAACCACUGAGCUAAACCCACGGUCCUAGAGGCACAGUUCUGAAGGAGAGAGAGCAGGAACCCCACAGAGCAACAGAAAUCGAUCGUGGAGAGGUGGACAGAGCCCUGAUCCUUUGUUGCGUUUAUUGUCCAUAUUUAGAUGCAUUUUACCUCAUCCUGGGUGAAACGGGAGGCCGAGAUAAUGCCCUCGUGGAGAGCAGACACAAUGAAGUUGUCGUUGUUGAUUUAAAUUCCCUUGCACGGUGAAAAGUGUGUGGAAUUGGAAGAGAGGCGACCAGUCAUGAAGACACUGCUGACGAGAGGGCCGUCAGCUCGCACGGGGAUGGUGGCAGUGGCGAUGGAGAGACGCGGGUGGAUCAGGAGCAUGGACAGGAGUUGCGAGGUCCAGCGAUCGCCUAGGGCCUAUUCCCUCAGAACCUCCCCCGUUGGCCAUGCCCUGCGGAAGAGCUCAAGAAUCACACUCCUUCCUGGGCCUCAGAGAAGGAAGAUGGCUUUUAGGGAACAGGUGUCUGCCCACCCUAGGGCAGCAGGCAAAUCAUUCAACAGCUUUUGCUCCCAGCCCUGGGCGUCCUUAAGGUGGCUCCAAAUGGGUCCCAACCACCUUUUAGGCAUCAUCGAAUCAACGCCGGAGAAACAUUUUGACGAUUUUGUUGCUUGAUGUCCGUCUAAAUGGCGCACGUGCUCCUGACUCUGCAGAGGAGAUGCUGGACCCUGGGCCCGCCUGAUCCCAUGGGAACUGAGUGAGCCACAGGCCAGUUUCCUAGGCACUGACUGCACCAAGGGAUUUGGUGGUCUACAAAAUAUCGUAAUUUUGCCAGCCCUUGAGAAAACUGGAAUGCGUUUUAUCCCUCUUCUCUGGACAGCACUCCUUCUGAGACGUCUGUCCACCACGCAGGCACAACUCCCUGUUCAUUUACUCAGGAAUCAAAGAGCAAAGAAAAGAGUAAUAUCAUUGCUUGUGAUGAAUCCAGGUUGCAGAAUGCUGUCAGUUCUGGACACGUGUGCAUAUGAGCUCUCGUAUCCUGGAGUAACUCCCACAGCAGCACUGCCAUGGUGCUCCUCCUACACUGAGCAUUACUUGUAAAGUGCAAGCGCUUGGGAAGAACUGUGACAUGUGAUGAAUCUGGUCAGCGUCAGCGCACUCCUACCGCUGCCUGGCCGCCCUUGUUCAGACACAGGCAGAGAGUAGACAACAGGCAGACAUGCUAAUGCGCAUUCUGCGGUGACCAUCAAGAAGGCAGAGAUAAGGCUCACCACAGGGGACAGUGAAGAAAACUUCGAGUAAUGAUGACAGUAUAUGAGGUGGGAUCAAACUAGCAGAUGUUUACAUUGUUUUAAAAAAUUAGUGCAAUAAAAGAUACAUUGCCAUUAACCCUCCUCAAAAUAUCCUCGCCUCCACUUCAAACACUCUUGGCCCUCUGCUCUUGCCACUUUCUGAGGCAGUUCUGGAAGUCCUCUUCCAUCCGUGUCAGUAGUUGUACUACUGUGACUGCCUCGAUGUCCUGAAUCAGUUCAAAACAUGUACUAUUCAUGGUCAUUUUGACCUUUGGAGAAAAGCCAGAAGUCACACAGUGCCUGAUCCAGUGAGUAAGGGGCCGAGGACACAGCACUGUGUUUACAGACCCGUGUUUCUGUCGGAUGCACUUGGCAGCAACAUUCACCACUUUUUGAUCAAACUUCCUCAAGACCCUCAUGAAGAGGACUUCCAGAACUGCUUCAGAAAGAUUUGCGGUGAUAACGGCUGAGAACUUUCCAUCCUCAUACAAGCUGGGUCUCAAAUUCCUAAGGAAACUCCUGCAGAGCCGCGCUGUUUGCUUUUGAAAGAUCAUAUCCUGACUUGCCUAUGGAGCCUUUGGUCGGAGGUGGGAUAAUUUUUGCAGCUGGGGGGAACCUAUACCUUGCUGGGGAAAAUCAGCAUGAAACAAUUAAUCACUCAUCCAAAAAUAAGAAUCCUAACCGAAGGGUGUUCACCGAUGAAAGAGCAAAGAAAACAUGUGCAGAGACAGUCUUCCUUCUGAUAGGCAGUGAUUUUUAAAGCAAAUUCUUCAUGUUUGGGAGUUGCUUCUUUCUUUGCUUUUUAUUAAACAGAGUUUUGUUUUCCUGAGUAAAAAAGAAUCUUAUUUUCAAAGGGCUGUUAUCCUGCUGCUUGCUCCCCAUAUGAAAUUAUCUUGCAGAGUAACAGGGCCUGGUGUUCUGGAAAUUGCAUAUGGGAUUUCUUAGUUUAAGAUCAAAGUCCUGUGACUGGAAGUUCACAAGAGUCACUCUUUUUCUUUCUAUUCAUACUUACAUUUUUAUUUUUCAAAACCAAUGCAUCAGAAAUUAUAUAUUUUAUGGAAAAUGAUAUGAUGUUGUGAAAUAUGUACACAUUACGGCAUGGCUGAACCAAGCUACUUAACACAUGCAUCCUCACAUGCUUACUAUGAUUUUGUGGUGAGAACACAUAAAAUCUAUUAUCUCAGUAUGUUUCCCAUCAGUCACUGCCUUGAAAUUGAACAGUUUUCAUAUAUCUUCUAAAUUUAACAUUUCAAAUUUGGCUUUCAUAAAAUAUUUUAGUUAUUAUGUUAGUACUUAACUGAGGAAUAGCUCAAACUUGGUACAUUCAUUUGUACAUUCUGAAUUAGUGGAAAGAGUUUGGGGUUAUAAAUGGGGAUGUAGAGCCACACCUCCUCCCAAUCAGAGGCAAACUCUGCUGCCAUGACAAAGGAGAAGCCAGCAGCUUCAGGGUGCGUGGUCAGUCUGUAAUGACAUUAGUACUGUCUUCGCAGGGGCCAGCUCACUGGAGUUCUAGCUCUAUUGUUCGCACUGAACUUUUACCUUUCCACAGAGUUAAAUGCAUUGCCAGUGUCCCAGUGUAUUCAGAAUUAAGCUGCCCUUACCUAUUCAGAGUUAGUAAAAAGAGACUUAUAUUUUGUCCUAGUAUUUUAUUUUCUACAUGAUUUCUCUCUCUUGGAAUUUAUUUUGGUAUAUGGUGUGAAGAGAUGAUCUAAAAUGAUGUUUCUCUGAAAUAGUUGCCUCAGUUGUCUCUUCUUUCACAUUUGAUUUUAUUUCUUUGUAAUAUAUAACAUUAUUAAAAUUAAUAUAAUUUCAAACAAAUAUUUCUGACAUUUCUUGUAUAUAUCCUACUUUAUCGAUGUGUCUGUUUUUGCAUCAACAGUAUGUCUUAAUUAAAGUGCCUUAUGGUAUGUUUUAAUAUAAAGUUGGGCUACUUCCAAAUGAAUGCUCUUUAGUGAGAGAAUUUAUGUAAAACUCCUAUAUCUAUCUACGUGUCCCCAUGUGGAUGCACACAGCAAUUGGGAGAUUUUCUAUGGCACCAUCCUAUCCUGUCUUGGACCUUAGCCUUCAUCCAGAGGAGCACUGUGUGUGCUGUCUCCCACCAAGCCAGGGGUCUGAGCAACUUUAGCAUCUACACUAUUCCAUUAGUGUUACCUCCACACCUACCAGUUAGCACCCAAUCUAGCACUGCCUAUACCUGCUCACUGCAUGCUGCAUUGCUAGUUUUAGAGUCAUGAUUUUUUUUUUUUUUUGGUACCAGGGAUCGAACUCAGGUCCUUGUACUUGCGGUGCAGGCAGCAGAAACACUGAGCUAAAUCCCCAGCCCUUAGGGUCAUAAUAUUAAAAAAGUUAAUAAUGUCUGAAUUUUUACUUAGGGACCAAAAGUUGAUUGUGUUUUAACCUAUACUCAACUUUCUUUCAGAUAUAAAAUAUUCUUCUCUAAGAAGGAGAAAGGUAUAGUAUUUACUUGAAUUAGUAUCAUGCCUAUGUGGUCCAACUGAGAGGUGAAGAAAACAGGCUGAGGAGGGACUUUCUGAAAUUUAGAUCAGAUAAAAUACUUUAUUUGUACAAAAAGCAAUUAGUAAUAAUUGGACUUUUUAAACUCACAAACAAGACUAAAGACAGCAAAACAUAUGAGAUAAUAAAAAUAUCCAUUAUCCACUCCACAUUAUUUGUAAUAACUUCAAAUGAUAAAAGAUUACAUUAAAAAUCCAAUUUAGGGGCCAGGGAUUUAGCUCAGUGGUUCCACCGCCUGCCUUGCAAGCACAAGGACCCAAGUUCGAUCCCCAGUACUCCCUGCCAAAAUAAAUCCAAUUUAAAAAAUUUUUAUUGCAUAUAAAUUGACAAAUUACAUUUGUGUAUAUGUACUGGGUACAAAGUGAUCCUAAGAUUUAUGGAUAUGAGGAGUCAUUAAAUUAAACUAAUUAAUAUAUCUAUCACCUCAAAUGCCAUAUUUUGGUGGUAACAUUUGAAAUUACUGUUACUGAUUUUGGUAUGACAAAUAAAUUUUAAUUGAUUUAGACACAAUGGCCAUGUGUAUGUUCCCUUUUUAGGUUGGAGUUAUUGGAAAAAAUAAG
rnacentral:lncRNA from 1 species